CGGUAAUUCCAGCUCCAAUAGCGUAUAUUAAAGUUGUUGUGGUUAAAAAGCUCGUAGUCGAACCUUGGGCCUGGCUGGCCGGUCCCCCUCACCGGGUGCACUGAUCCAGCCGGGCCUUUCCCUCUGUGGAACCCCAUGGCCUUCACUGGCUGUGCGGGGGAAACAGGACUUUUACUGUGAAAAAAUUAGAGUGCUCCAGGCAGGCCUAUGCUCGAAUACAUUAGCAUGGAAUAAUAGAAUAGGACGUGUGGUUCUAUUUUGUUGGUUUCUAGGACCGCCGUAAUGAUUAAUAGGGACGGUCGGGGGCAUCAGUAUUCAGUUGUCAGAGGUGAAAUUCUUGGAUCUACUGAAGACUAACUACUGCGAAAGCAUUUGCCAAGGAUGUUUUCAUUGAUAAGGAACGAAAGUUAGGGGAUCGAAGACGAUCAGAUACCGUCGUAGUCUUAACUAUAAACUAUGCCGACUAGGGAUCGGACGAUGUUAUUAUUUGACGCGUUCGGCACCUUUCGAGAAAUCAAAGUGCUUGGGCUCCAGGGGGAGUAUGGUCGCAAGGCUGAAACUUAAAGAAAUUGACGGAAGGGCACCACCAGGGGUGGAACCUGCGGCUUAAUUUGACUCAACACGGGGAAACUCACCAGGUCCAGACACAGUGAGGAUUGACAGAUUGAGAGCUCUUUCUUGAUUCUGUGGGUGGUGGUGCAUGGCCGUUCUUAGUUGGUGGAGUGAUUUGUCUGCUUAAUUGCGAUAACGAACGAGACCUUAACCUGCUAAAUAGCCCGUACUGCUCUGGCAGUUCGCUGGCUUCUUAGAGGGACUAUCGGCUCAAGCCGAUGGAAGUUUGAGGCAAUAACAGGUCUGUGAUGCC
rnacentral:rRNA from 1 species